UACAGAGGGUGCGAGCGUUAAUCGGAAUUACUGGGCGUAAAGCGUGCGUAGACGGUUAUUUAAGUCGGGUGUGAAAGCCCCGGGCUCAACCUGGGAAUUGCAUUCGAGACUGCAUAGCUAGGAUGCGGAAGAGGGAAGCGGAAUUUCCGGUGUAGCGGUGAAAUGCGUAGAGAUCGUAAGGAAGACCAGUGGCGAAGGCGAGUUUCUGGACAGUUACUGACGCUGAGGCACGAAGGCCAGGGGAGCAAACGGG
rnacentral:rRNA from 1 species